rnacentral:rRNA from 1 species
UACGGAGGGUGCAAACGUUGCUCGGAAUCAUUGGGCGUAAAGCGCACGUAGGCGGCCUGUUAAGUCGGGUGUGAAAGCCCUGGGCUCAACCCAGGAAGUGCACUCGAAACUGGCGGGCUUGAAUAUGGAAGAGGGUCGCGGAAUUCCCGGUGUAGAGGUGAAAUUCGUAGAUAUUAGGAAGAACACCAGUGGCGAAGGCGGCUCACUGGUCCGGUACUGACGCUGAGGUGCGAAAGCGUGGGGAGCAAACAGG